rnacentral:rRNA from 1 species
GACGAACGCUGGCGGCGUGCCUAAUACAUGCAAGUAGAACGCUGAAGGAGGAGCUUGCUUCUCUGGAUGAGUUGCGAACGGGUGAGUAACGCGUAGGUAACCUGCCUGGUAGCGGGGGAUAACUAUUGGAAACGAUAGCUAAUACCGCAUAAUAGUAGAUGUUGCAUGACAUUUGCUUAAAAGGUGCAAUUGCAUCACUACCAGAUGGACCUGCGUUGUAUUAGCUAGUUGGUGGGGUAACGGCUCACCAAGGCGACGAUACAUAGCCGACCUGAGAGGGUGAUCGGCCACACUGGGACUGAGAAACGGCCCAGACUCCUACGGGAGGCAGCAGUAGGGAAUCUUCGGCAAUGGACGGAAGUCUGACCGAGCAACGCCGCGUGAGUGAAGAAGGUUUUCGGAUCGUAAAGCUCUGUUGUAAGAGAAGAACGAGUGUGAGAGUGGAAAGUUCACACUGUGACGGUAUCUUACCAGAAAGGGACGGCUAACUACGUG